GAUGAACGCUGGCGGCGUGCCUAAUACAUGCAAGUCGAGCGAACGGACGAGAAGCUUGCUUUUCUGAUGUUAGCGGCGGACGGGUGAGUAACACGUGGAUAACCUACCUAUAAGACUGGGAUAACUUCGGGAAACCGGAGCUAAUACCGGAUAAUAUUUUGAACCGCAUGGUUCAAAAGUGAAAGACGGUCUUGCUGUCACUUAUAGAUGGAUCCGCGCUGCAUUAGCUAGUUGGUAAGGUAACGGCUUACCAAGGCAACGAUGCAUAGCCGACCUGAGAGGGUGAUCGGCCACACUGGAACUGAGACACGGUCCAGACUCCUACGGGAGGCAGCAGUAGGGAAUCUUCCGCAAUGGGCGGAAGCCUGACGGAGCAACGCCGCGUGAGUGAUGAAGGUCUUCGGAUCGUAAAACUCUGUUAUUAGGGAAGAACAUAUGUGUAAGUAACUGUGCACAUCUUGACGGUACCUAAUCAGAAAGCCACGGCUAACUACGUGCCAGCAGCCGCGGUAAUACGUAGGUGGCAAGCGUUAUCCGGAAUUAUUGGGCGUAAAGCGCGCGUAGGCGGUUUUUUAAGUCUGAUGUGAAAGCCCACGGCUCAACCGUGGAGGGUCAUUGGAAACUGGAAAACUUGAGUGCAGAAGAGGAAAGUGGAAUUCCAUGUGUAGCGGUGAAAUGCGCAGAGAUAUGGAGGAACACCAGUGGCGAAGGCGACUUUCUGGUCUGUAACUGACGCUGAUGUGCGAAAGCGUGGGGAUCAAACAGGAUUAGAUACCCUGGUAGUCCACGCCGUAAACGAUGAGUGCUAAGUGUUAGGGGGUUUCCGCCCCUUAGUGCUGCAGCUAACGCAUUAAGCACUCCGCCUGGGGAGUACGACCGCAAGGUUGAAACUCAAAGGAAUUGACGGGGACCCGCACAAGCGGUGGAGCAUGUGGUUUAAUUCGAAGCAACGCGAAGAACCUUACCAAAUCUUGACAUCCUUUGACAACUCUAGAGAUAGAGCCUUCCCCUUCGGGGGACAAAGUGACAGGUGGUGCAUGGUUGUCGUCAGCUCGUGUCGUGAGAUGUUGGGUUAAGUCCCGCAACGAGCGCAACCCUUAAGCUUAGUUGCCAUCAUUAAGUUGGGCACUCUAAGUUGACUGCCGGUGACAAACCGGAGGAAGGUGGGGAUGACGUCAAAUCAUCAUGCCCCUUAUGAUUUGGGCUACACACGUGCUACAAUGGACAGUACAAAGGGCAGCGAAACCGCGAGGUCAAGCAAAUCCCAUAAAGUUGUUCUCAGUUCGGAUUGUAGUCUGCAACUCGACUACAUGAAGCUGGAAUCGCUAGUAAUCGUAGAUCAGCAUGCUACGGUGAAUACGUUCCCGGGUCU
rnacentral:rRNA from 1 species